rnacentral:rRNA from 1 species
UACGUAGGGGGCAAGCGUUGUCCGGAAUUAUUGGGCGUAAAGCGCGCGCAGGCGGUCCUUUAAGUUCUGAUGUGAAAGCCCACGGCUCAACCGUGGAGGGUCAUUGGAAACUGGGGACUUGAGUGCAGAAGAGGAAAGCGGAAUUCCACGUGUAGCGGUGAAAUGCGUAGAGAUGUGGAGGAACACAGUGGCGAAGGCGGCUUCUGGUCUGUAACUGACGCUGAGGCGCGAAAGCGUGGGGAGCAAACAGGA